CGAUGCGUACGAUAUGGAGCUGUCGCGUCGGCGUGCGGAGGUGGUCGCGAUCGAACUGGUCGACGUCGGGCUCGAUGCCCGACGCAUCGC
rnacentral:tRNA from 1 species